rnacentral:rRNA from 1 species
CCUACGGGAUGCAGCAGUGGGGAAUAUUGCACAAUGGGCGCAAGCCUGAUGCAGCCAUGCCGCGUGUAUGAAGAAGGCCUUCGGGUUGUAAAGCACUUUCGGCGGGGAGGAAGGCGAUAAGGUUAAUAACCUUGUCGAUUGACGUUACCCGCAGAAGAAGCACCGGCUAACUCCGUGCCAGCAGCCGCGGUAAUACGGAGGGUGCAAGCGUUAAUCGGAAUUACUGGGCGUAAAGCGCACGCAGGCGGUCGGUCAAGUCGGAUGUGAAAUCCCCGGGCUCAACCUGGGAACUGCAUUCGAAACUGGCAGGCUAGAGUCUUGUAGAGGGGGGUAGAAUUCCAGGUGUAGCGGUGAAGUGCGUAGAGAUCUGGAGGUAUACCGGUGGCGAAGGCGGCCCCCUGGACAAAGACUGACGCUCAGGUGCGAAAGCGUGGGGAGCAAACAGGAUUAGAUACCCGUGUAGUC